rnacentral:tRNA from 1 species
AGUAGAAAGGUGUAUGGCACGAGGGAUUUUGGAUUUCUAGGAGAUAUUUCAAAUUAUCUUUUACUA